UGGGCUUGUAGCUCAGUGGAUUAGAGCACGUGGCUACGAACCACGGUGUCGGGGGUUCGAGUCCCUCCUUGCCCGUC
rnacentral:tRNA from 1 species